rnacentral:rRNA from 1 species
AAGACCCUGUUGAGCUUGACUCUAAUCUGACAUUGUGAAGUGACUUAGGAGGUGUAGCAUAAGUGGGAGCUUCGGUGAUCUUGAAAUACCACUACUCUUAACGUUACUUUACUUAUUCUGUUGUGCUCUGCCCCGCUCUGUGAGUGGGUUUUGGAUCCAAGGUUUCCUUUCUUGGUGGCCGAUCUGUGCGGAAGACAUUGUCAGGUGGGGAGUUUGGCUGGGG